rnacentral:rRNA from 1 species
GAAUUAUUGGGCGUAAAGAGCUCGUAGGCGGUUUGUCGCGUCUGUCGUGAAAGUCCGGGGCUUAACCCCGGAUCUGCGGUGGGUACGGGCAGACUAGAGUGCAGUAGGGGAGACUGGAAUUCCUGGUGUAGCGGUGGAAUGCGCAGAUAUCAGGAGGAACACCGAUGGCGAAGGCAGGUCUCUGGGCUGUAACUGACGCUGAGGAGCGAAAGCAUGGGGAGCGAACAGGAUUAGAUACCCUGGUAGUCCAUGCCGUAAACGUUGGGCACUAGGUGUGGGGACCAUUCCACGGUUUCCGCGCCGCAGCUAACGCAUUAAGUGCCCCGCCUGGGGAGUACGGCCGCAAGGCUAAAACUCAAAGGAAUUGACGGGGGCCCGCACAAGCGGCGGAGCAUGCGGAUUAAUUCGAUGCAACGCGAAGAACCUUACCAAGGCUUGACAUGUUCUCGAUCGCCGUAGAGAUACGGUUUCCCCUUUGGGGCGGGUUCACAGGUGGUGCAUGGUUGUCGUCAGCUCGUGUCGUGAGAUGUUGGGUUAAGUCCCGCAACGAGCGCAACCCUCGUUCCAUGUUGCCAGCACGUCGUGGUGGGGACUCAUGGGAGACUGCCGGGGUCAACUCGGAGGAAGGUGAGGACGACGUCAAAUCAUCAUGCCCCUUAUGUCUUGGGCUUCACGCAUGCUACAAUGGCCGGUACAAUGGGUUGCGAUACUGUGAGGUGAGCUAAUCCCAAAAAGCCGGUCUCAGUUCGGAUUGGGGUCUGCAACUCGACCCCAUGAAGUCGGAGUCGCUAGUAAUCGCAGAUCAGCAACGCUGCGGUGAAUACGUUCCCGGGCCUU